rnacentral:rRNA from 1 species
UGGGGAAUCUUGGACAAUGGGGGCAACCCUGAUCCAGCCAUGCCGCGUGAGUGAUGAAGGCCUUAGGGUUGUAAAACUCUUUCGGCGGGGACGAUAAUGACGGUACCCGCAGAAGAAGCUCCGGCUAACUUCGUGCCAGCAGCCGCGGUAAUACGAAGGGGGCUAGCGUUGUUCGGAAUUACUGGGCGUAAAGCGCGCGCAGGUGGUCCUUCAAGUCAGGGGUGAAAGCCCAGAGCUCAACUCUGGAACUGCCUUUGAGACUGUGGGACUUGGGUACGGGAGAGGUGAGUGGAAUUCCGAGUGUAGAGGUGAAAUUCGUAGAUAUUCGGAAGAACACCAGUGGCGAAGGCGGCUCACUGGCCCGUUACCGACACUCAGGCGCGAUAGCGUGGGGAGCAAACAGGAUUAGAUACCCCUGUAGUCC